rnacentral:rRNA from 1 species
AUUGCACGCUGGCGGCAGGCCUAACACAUGCAAGUCGAACGAGUGGCGGACGGGUGCGUAAUGUCUGGGAAACUGCCUGAUGGAGGGGGAUAACUACUGGAAACGGUAUCUAAUACCGCAUACCAUCAGAUGUUCCCCGAUGGGAUUAGCUAGUUGGUGGGGUAACGGCUCACCAAGGCGACGAUCCCUAGCUGGUCUGAGAGGAUGACCAGCCACACUGGAACGGAGACACGGUCCAGACUCCUACGGGAGGCAGCAGUGGGGAAUAUUGGACAAUGGGGGAAAGCCUGAUGCAGCCAUGCCGCGUGUAUGAAGAAGGCCUUCGGGUUGUAAAGUACUUUCAGCGGGGAGGCGUUACCCGCAGAAGAAGCACCGGCUAACUCCGUGCCAGCAGCCGCGGUAAUAC